GAUGAAGAACGAAGCGAAACGCGAUAUGUAAUGUGAAUUGCAGAAUUCAGUGAAUCAUCGAAUCUUUGAACGCACAUGGCGCCUUCCAGUAUCCUGGGAGGCAUGCCUGUCCGAGCGUCGUUUCAACCCUCGAGCCCCCGUGGCCCGGCGUUGGGGAUCUGCCCAGGCAGUCCCCGAAAACCAGUGGCGGACCCGUUACAGGCCCUUCCCUUGCGUAGUAGCAUUCGCCUCGCAUCGGGAGCCGGCGGGCUUCCAGCCUCUAAACCCCCAUCAAGUCCGCCCCGGCGGCACCAAGGUUGACCUCGGAUCAGGUAGGAAUACCCGCUGAACUUAAGCAUAUCAAUAAGCGGAGGA
rnacentral:misc_RNA from 1 species